rnacentral:rRNA from 1 species
GUUCUCCGUUGGUGAACCAGCGGAGGGAUCAUUA